GUGUGUGUGUGUGUGUGUGUGUGUGUGUGUAUCUGUGUGUCACACACCUUGAUACACAGAUAUACACACAGAUACAUACAUACACACAGAUAAACAG